CGGAGAAACCAACCCAUGAAUACGUCUCUCGGCGGACACGGAGGGCGACAGCCUCGGAUUUGCCCUCCCACGGAACUUCGUAGACAUGGAAGGAGAAAUCCUGCGUGGACCGGAACUGGAGAAACUGUCAGUGUCCGUGGAAGCUGAAGAGGACAAAGAUAUUGUUCAGGAAUCCAGUGGAUGAUGUUCCAGAAGAAAUAUCUCCUGUCGUCUCGCCCGCAUCUAUGGCAGGCAUCCUCAGAGGUUGUGAGGUUUGUUGGAAACUAGGCAAGUGGGGUUUAUAUAUCUGUGGAAUGUCCAGGGUGGGAGAAAGAACUCUUCUCUGUUGAAAGUGUGAAUGUUACAAUUAAUUACCUUGAUUAGCACCAAAAAGCCUUGCAGUUUCAAAGCCUGGCUGCUUCCUGCCUGGCUGCUUCCUGCCUUUGUUGGGAGGUGUUAGCUGGCCCUGGUUGUUUCAUUUCUGGGAUUAUUCUGUUUUCUGAGUGUUGUUCUUUAUUUACUGUCCUGAUUUUAAAGCUUUGUUAAUACUGGUAGCUAUAUUUUGUACAUUUUCAUGGUUUCCUCCUUUCAGUUGAAAUUGUCCACAUGCUUAUGGAUUUCAGUGACUUCUCCGUGUAGUUUGACAUGAUAGUUGUUAGAGUGGUCCAGCAUUUUUGUGUUCUCAAAUAAUAUGCUGUGUCCAGGUUGGUUCAUCAAGUGCUCUGCUGUGGCUGACUUCUCUGGUUGAUUUAGUCUGCAGUGCCUUCUUUCAUGUUCCUUGAUUCGUGUUUUGGCAAUGCUGCGCUUGGUGGUCCCUAUGUAGACUUGUCCACAGUUGCAUGGUAUACGAUUGACUCCUGCAGAGGUGAGAGGAUCCUUCUUGUCCUUUGCUGAACGUAGCAUUUGCUGGAUUUUCUUAGUGGCUCUGUAGAUAGUUUGUAGGUUGUGUUUCUCCAUCAGCUUCCCAACACGGUCAGUGGUUCCCUUGAUGUAUGUUAAGAACACUUUUCCUCUGGGUGGAUCUUUGUCUUUACUCUCAUGCCUUGUUCUUGGCCUUGUAGUUUCUGCAGGUUCUUCUGAUGUCUGUGGUGGAGCAGCCAAUGGCCUGCAGAGCCCAGUUUAGAUGAUCAGUUUCAACAUUCACACUUCCAACAGACAAGAGUUCUUUCUCCCACACUGGGCCUUCUACAGAUAUAUAAACCUCGCACGCUUAGUUUCCAACAGACCUCACAACCUCUGAGAAUGCCUGCCAUAGAUGUGGGCGAAACGUCAGGAGAGAAUGCUUCUGGAACAUGGCCGUACAGCCCCCAAAACUCCCAGUAACCCACUGUAUUAGUGCAGACGACUACAUUUCUUCAUACUUCCCUUGCAAUCCGUUUCAAAGCUCCGAAGGAUGCAUUGCAUAGGAGUCUGUCUCGUUCCUUUUCUAGGAACCAUCAGCAUGGCUUGUGAUUGAGGAUAUUUGCAGGGUGUGUGUGUGUGUGACUGUGUAUAUAUUCUCUCCCUGUAUCUCUAUGCUUUUAAUAGAAAGGCUCAGUCGGUGAUGGAGAAGAGAGAGUGGAAUAGGGUUUGUUUUCCCCCUUUGACUUCGACUACAACAGCGACCCCUGGCGUCCGAAAGCGGAACGCACCUCCCGGCGUUCAUUCAUAUUUCAGAAGCCCACCAGCUCCCUUCCUGGCGACCUUUUUAUGAUUAUUCCCCCUUCUCCUCCCCAUUUCUACAAACAUAAUUAAGCGCUCAAGACUAAUGAGGUUCCCUCGUGGGCCGCAUGAAUGAAAGGCCUUUUUAUGAGCUGCAAAGAAAGAUGGAAACUCGUAUAACUUUCAUAAGACGCCCCAUCAUAACAUAAAGAUUGGAAUAGAAUAGGUGGGCUAUUUCUUCUCGAGUCCCUUGUGAUCUCCCCCCCGACCCUCAAGUUUGCUCCCCUCCACAAUAUGUCUGCAUUCUUUCUGGCUUAACCAGCCUCGAUGGGAAAGUAUUCCUGGUUUUUCCAGCCUAUCCUCGUUGUCAGGGGGAGAAAAUGCCCUGCCUGCUUUUAUUUCUGUAAUAGAUUUGUAAAUUUCUUUCGAGCUCCCUUCCCAAUUACUUAUAGAGGGAUGGGGAGAGAAAUAACGCUUUUGGAAGAUCGGAAAGGAUGGGCAAGGAAGGAACCCUGUCUCCGCCCCGUUCAAGAGGGACCAGGCAGGGAAAGGACCUCGCGAAUCAAGGCUGGGAUUUGACGUUUCCCCCUCGCUCGCUCGCUUGCUUUCCUUCUCUCUCCCGUCUCAAUCCCUCUUUCUCUCUCUCCCCCGCCCCCUUCCUUUGCAACUGACUUGUCUGCCUGCCAGAAGGUGCGCAGGGGGAAGGAGUUUUGGAAAGGACCUGAAGGGAAACACUGCUGCUUUCAGGGAGCAAGCCUGAGAAAAAUAUCGGAUUUCCAGAGUCCAAAACGACAGCCCUCAGAGAAGAAGCCGUUGACUGCAAACUUGUGUUCUUGAAAUGCGCUUGGCUUUCCCAGAUUUUAAAAAAGCGGACUGAAGCCGGCCCCUGGCUGCUGUGCGCCUGUGUCGGGAGGGUCGAGAAGGUCCAAACCGUGCUUGGGAGCCCCUUGGCGACUACCCUGCCAGGCGGGGGCUGGAGGGCUGGGGGGCGGGCUGGGCGGGCUGCCUGCCUUCCUGCCUACCGAGGGGGCUGGAGGCAGGCAGGCAGGCAGGCUUAACCCAUCCAGUUCCGGAAAGCGACUCUUCCACGACACACAGCCCAACAUAGAGACCGAGUCUCCGGAUCCUGUGGAACCCGGUCCUUCCUUGCCGUGGAAAAGAUGGGGAUUUUUUAAAAUGGGCUUUUAAAUGGGUUAUAUGUAUCCUGAUGGGGUGGGCAACAUGUUUUGGGGAAAAGGAGACAAAAAAAUCGUAAGCGGGGAAAAUAAACUCGCCUCCCGGUUCGAGGCAAACCAGAAGUUCAGACUCACCCGUCCGAAGCAGAGAGACGGCUUUAAAUCAAAUCUGACAUCCUAAGCCGUUUACUUGGGCUUCCUUUCAAGUCAAUGUGUUUCGGAUCCGGGUGAAAACUUGAUAGCUAUACAUUCGCACACGCACACACAUACAUAUGUGUGUGUAUUAGAUGCAUGUUUCAAUAACUCCCUUUCAAUAAAUUCCAGAUAUAUGAAUAUAGAUAGAUAGAUACUAUCUAUCUAUCUAUCUAUCUAUCUAUCUAUCUAUCUAUAUAGUGUAUAUGAGGUUUAUUGAAAGGGAUUGCUGUGAGUUUUCCGGGCUGUCUGGCAAUGUUCCAGAAGCAUUCUCUCCUGACGUUUCACCCACAUCGAUGGCAGGCAUCCUCAGAGGUUGUGGGGUUUGUUGGAAACUAGGCAAGUGGGGUUUAUAUAUCUGUGGAAUGUUCAGAAUGGGUGAAAGAACUCUUGAGGCACGUGUGAAUGUUACAAUUUGAUCACCCUGAUUAGCAUUGAAUAGCCUUGCAGCUUCAACGCUUGGCUGCUUCUCGCUUGGGGGAAUCCUUUGUUGGGAAGUGAUUGAAAGGGAGUUACUGAAACAUGCAUCUAAUAGACACACCUAUGUAUGUAUUAUAUAUAUGAGUGUGUGUGUAUGUAUACAUACACAUAUAUACAUAUACAUACGUGUGUGUGUGUGUGUUAGAUUCAUGUUUCAGUAACUCCUUUUGAACAAUCAUAUAUAUAUAUUAUAUAUAUAUAUAUAUAUAUAUGUAUAUAUACACAUAUAUAUAGUAUAUUAAAUUUUCAUCCCGAUGUGUGUGUGUGUGUGUAUUCAUAUAUGUGUUUGUGUAUUAGAUGCAUGUUUUAACAACUCCCUUUUCUACCUAAAAUAUAUUUAUAACCUCCCGUAUUUCUUUCUUUUAUUCCUAUCCAACCACCACGCGCUCCUUGUUGUUUGACUUCAAAUACUUCCCGACUUGUGUUGUUGUUGUUGUUGUUGUUGUUGUUCUUCUUCUUCUUCUUCUUCUUCUUCUUCUUCUUCUUCUUCUUUUUCCUCCUCCUCCUCUUCCUCUUCCUCCUUCUUUUCUUCUUCUUCUUCUUCUUCUUAAAUGUAUUUAUAGCCCGCUUUAUCCUCCCUGACUCAAAGCAGCUUAAUAGAAAAACGUUACAGCGACCCCAGAACCACCACGGUGGGCGCAUCUACACUGUAGAAUUAUUAAAGUUUGACAUCGGAUUUUAACUACUAAGGCUCAAUGCGGGACACCAAAGCUAGUUGGCGGAGUUGGUUAAAGACCUCGUGAGACUUCCACGAUUCCCAUGGGAAAUUGAGCCAUGACGGUUAAGGGCGUCAAACUGCGUUCGUCACACACCCCAGGACUUCACAGCCUUCCUGGGAGUUUGCCUCGUGGAAGAAAGAACGGGGCAAGCCAAGCGAGGAGGGAGGUUGGAGGUGGGAGACCCAGCGUCCCCCUCGGCGAAAAGUGCUCCAGGUGGGCUCGGGUGGGAGGACGCGGCAGACGAGACACGUGUCCAAACCCCGCAUCUCCCUUUCCUCGCCCCCUUCGCCAAGCAGAUGGCUCUGCUUGGUCUUCUUCUUCCUGCCCUUUCCAUCCUGGGUUUCCUUCCACACUCGCCCUUAACCUUUUCCACGCGUGAAUGCGGCCAAAGAUUCUUUCAAGUUGUAGUUUUACAACAUCUUUAGCCUACUUUGCCAAAGAGUGCUGGUGCCUCACCAAACUGCAACUUUUAGGAUUUCAUACCACUGGUCCAUAGCAGAUAAAGUUUUAUCAAUUUGCAUUAAUUCUACAGCAUAGAUGCACCCAGAGACAUUCACAUGCACAAUACAGACAAGGCUCUCCCAAUUUCUUUCUGUUUUUCUGUACCUUCUUCCUUAGCUCCAGAAAAUGGGACCCUGGAAUGAUGGGAACCCUGUCCCCGUCUAUCAUGAAUGGCCAUGCCCCUUUUCAUCCUUCGCACUCUCAUAUGUCCCUGUCCACAUUGGAGUACCCCUCUGUCCCUCUCACUCCGGGUUUUAUCUUUGUGUUCAUGCGGCCUGCUCUUGUUUUACUGUUUCUUGAUUUCUUGAUGUGAUGUCUAUUAUUAUCUCUUGUAUUACUUUUAAUUAUGUUUUGAUAUGCUGUUUUAUAUUUUAUUAUAUUGUAUUGCUUUGGGCAUGGCCCCAUGUUAGCCGCCCCGAGUCCCCGCUGGGGAGAUGGUGGCGGGGUAUAAAUAAAGUUUUUAUUAUUAUUAUUAUUAUUAUUAUUAUUAUUAUUAUUAUUAUUAUUAUUAUUAUUAUUAUUUAACACCCCCAGGCAUGAUCAGUGCAAAGGAAGGAGCAAGCAAAGUUUCGAGAGAUGUUGCAGUGGAAUGCACCCCUUCAGCCUACAGGUGGUGGUGGUGAUCAUAUUUCUCCUGGCUCCCUUUUUGAUAUUUCUUGAAAAAAGGAAGCAAAGAAGCAUAACAGCAACCAAGCCUAGUCUAGAGUAGCCUGGUUUAGCUAUAACAAUGGGGGAACUAUUUGUGCAGUGAAGUCUUUUCAAAAUAAAUAAAUAAAAUCAUGAUCUACCUGAAGUUGGAA